rnacentral:rRNA from 1 species
UAUAAAGUCUAAUCUGCCCAAUGAGUUAUUAAAUGGCCGCGGUAUUUUGACCGUGCAAAGGUAGCAUAAUAAUUAGUUUUUUAAUUGAAAGCUGGAAUGAAUGAUUGGACGAGAGAAUUACUGUCUCUAUUUAGUUUAUUUUGAAUUUUAUUUUUAAGUAAAAAAGCUUAAAUUAAUUUAAAAGACGAGAAGACCCUAUAGAGUUUAAUAGAUUUAUUGAUAAUAAUUGAUAGGUAUUUUUAUAUUAAUAUGAGUAAGUUUAUUUUGUUGGGGUGAUGGAAAAAUUUAUAUAACUUUUUUUUUUUUAAAACAUUGAUUUAUGAUUAAUUGAUCCAUUUUUUAUGAUUAUAAGGUUAAAUUACCUUAGGGAUAACAGCGUAAUUUUUUUUUAGAGUUCUAAUCGAAAGAAGAGUUUGCGACCUCGAUGUUGGAUUAAAAUUAAUGUUUGGUGUAGAAGCUAAACUAUUAGGUCUGUUCGACCUUUGAAAUUUUACA